ensembl:lncRNA
AUAAAAUUAGAAAAAUUGCUUGGUUUAUUUUGUAGAAACUAUUGUUACAUUCAGUACACUCUCAGAAAACGUGCAAAAACUACAAAAAACCUUUAGUGGUACAACAGCUUGUCACCAGGACAGUAACCUCAAAGGAAGUGAGUAGUACCUUAAGGGUUCAUACGUAUUACUACUCUAAAGCCCAAGACACACUGCACAGUUUUUGGCUGUCCCAAAUAAAAGAUUGGAAUCGUGAAACAGUCGUGGCGAUUUCUAUGAUCGUGGCUCCUAAUCGGUGGUUCUGUGUUAUCGCCUAUGAUACAGCAUGAUCUUUGCACAGUGUGUUUGGUAGUACAAUCCACGUUUACUGACCAAACUAUAAAAAUGCGACAUGAAGUCAACGCGACAUGGCACUAAAACAUAAAACUGCUGACCUCAAGCUCUUAUGCCUUUCUCUUUCGCCGCUUCCACUUUUUGUCAGCACACAUAAAAACUACAACUGCUAAAAUAUUUUCAUGCUCUUUUUGUUUACCAUGCAUGCUGAUUAAAUUUUAUUCUUCUAUAGUAAUGUGUGUCGUAUUGUAUGAGUGAAUAGGCGUCAUCAUCGUACAGUCUACACACGUCAUAGCCAAGUUUAUUAGAUCUAUGUCAUGUGACAUGCAAUGAUCUUAUAGGACUGCUACAAUCGUGCAGUGUGUCUCGGGCUUUAGGUACCAAUUUGCACCUUUUAGAGGUAGAUAAGGUACAAAGUUAUCCCUCGAAGGAUACUGUCACAGUGGCAAAUUUUCGUAUCGCUAAAGGUACAAUUAUUUGCACAUUUUUAUCACAGGGUAUUAUAGAAUAUAACCAAAUAUAUAGAUUUUUUUUUACAUUUACAUUUCUUGUUAUUUCUUUUGCAACCCAACCACUCAGUGUACCUGAUUAGCACACUGCUAGCUUACUCUACACACAUAUCCUUUGAGACCUAAAUGUAGAUGUGACGCCUUUCAACUAUCCACAAAGCAUUAGCUACGCCCACAGAUUAGCAUGACCAAUACAAGCUAAUGCUUAAAAUGAUAAUGCUAAUGACUACCGUGGGUUCUAGCUGCAUCUUUCUGUUUGAAAAUAUUUUGGUGCAUACUACAUAUACUU